rnacentral:misc_RNA from 1 species
AACUUUCAGCAAUGGAUCACUUGGCUCUCGCAUCGAUGAAGAACGCAGCGAAAUGCGAUAAGUAAUGUGAAUUGCAGAAUUCAGUGAAUUAUCGAAUCUUUGAACGCACCUUGCACCCUUUGGUAUUCCAAAGGGUAUGCUCGUUUGAGUGUCAUUAAUACUCUCACACUCUCUAAUUAGUUUUAGGGAGCGGUGGACUUGGGUGUUGCCUGGUAGUUUACUGUCAGGCUCAUCUCAAAUGGAUUAGUGCAAAGUCCUAGUUAAACAUAACAGCGUGACAAGUAACCCCCUUAUGCUGUUUUCUGUGUAAUUAGGGUGCUCUGUGCUUUUUAUUGUCUUAGGACAAUAUUUAGGAACUUGACCUCAAAUCGAGUAGGAUUACCCGCUGAACUUAAGCAUAUCAAUAAGCGGAGGCU